GAAAAAAAGUGAAGGCGAUCCAACCAAACAGCCCUAUGUGUUGGACUCUUUUCAUGAUGCACGUCUGAAGCUCACAUGACUUGGAUAGUCCUGAUGUCUCAUACUGGGUAGCAGUUGAUGGCGCCAGAUGCUCCAUCAAAGAAAGAUAAUCGCAAACUGAAUCCUGCCAAGCUGUUGAUGUAUUAAACACUCUGUCUCAUCUGUAUUUGCUGAACUCUUUGGACCUUCCUGCCACAAUACUGCGAUUCCAUAGUGUGGAGAAGGGUGAAUCUCUUCUUUGUCAAAAGCAGAAGUAUUUUAUUCAAAAUACAUGGGAGUAUCUCCAGAAACUUUUCUUCAAAGUCAAACAGCAUGGUUAAUAGUCUGACAGAGUGUAUUCUUCCACUGCCGGUGGAGUAGAGCCAAACCCAAUGAGCUGUGCAAGAGGAAUACAGGAGCAGAGAGAGCUUGCUG
rnacentral:lncRNA from 1 species